AAGAAAAGGCACAAGAUCUCAUAGAUGAUAUAUUCCAUGGUGCAACUAUUCCAUGUGAAAUAUUGAAAUGUAUUCAUGUUGGUCUAUUAUGUGUUCAACAAAUACCAGAACAUAGACCAAACAUGUCAUCUGUGGUCUUAAUGUUGAAUGGUGAAAAACUGUUGCCUGAUCCUAGCCAACCUGGGUUCUAUACUGCAACAGCUCAUGAUCCAAUUCAGGUAGAAUCUUCUUCAAGAAGUUAUGGAGACUGUUCACAAAAUGAAGCUUCUAUGUCAUUGUUAGAGCCACGAUAGAAUAUCAUUGUGUAUUUUGUUAAUACUUGAUAGUGCUACUAGGAUUAAAAGGUGCAUUUGGAGAAACUUAUUUGAACUUAUCUUAUGACAGAAGUGAUUGUAUAAGUGUUUGUGAAAGCUUAUGAGAGCUUAUCAUAUUUUUAUCAAUGAUUGAUCAAAUACCUUUUAUGCAGUCACUAUUUGACUGGGAAUCUCUUCGAAUUGUUUCUACUUUGGCCUCUAUUAUCUGAAUACCGGUUCUUGUUUCUCCCCCUAGAUUCAGUAACCAAUACCUCUGACUGUGAAGGAGAGUUUUGAUACUUUCUUCUCAUCUCUUCAUUCAAAAUAUUGCUCGUAACAAGGUCCAUUGACAACACAUCGGCAACAGCAGAAUUAGACAAUGACAUUCUGAACGUUUUCCACAAGUCAGGCAAGGAACUCAGAAGAAAUAACCCUUGAAUUUCAUCAUCAAACUUAAUACCAAUGUACUUUGAUUGAAUUAAUUAAUGAAUUGAAUAACUUUCAUUCGUAAGUCUAUUUCUCUAUAGUUAUUACCUGUUUUCUUCGUAUGCAACUGCUCAAUAUUAUCCCAUAAUAAUUUUGCAUCUUUCUCUCCACUAAUGUGGUUCAAAACGUUGUCAUCAACCCAUCAACGAAUAAAAGUUUACUCAUUAUAAAUUAUGUCAUUUGGCUUUUCUGUAGCGAACACAGGAUGGUUAAAAUUCUUCGCAAAAAGAAGAUCCUCCAUCUUACCUUUCCAAAGGGCANNNNNNNNNNNNNNNNNNNNNNNNNNNNNNNNNNNNNNNNNNNNNNNNGGAUGCGAUGUUUUAAAUUUUAUCACUUGACAACAUAAAAGCCAAAAUCGAUAACUAUACCUUCGCUAUUAACUAGAAAUUAGAUACUAGUCAAAAUCAAUAAUUGUAUCACGCAUUUACGGCGUUGAAUCAUAAUCUAGAUGGUGAAGUGAAGGGCCCCUAUUAAAUGUAUCAACCUACACUGAACAACUUGAGUUGCCAUGCCAAUCCUUAAUUGCAAUUUCUACUAUUCAAUCCCGCACAACUUGACUGUAGUGGCAUUGACUUUGGAUCAAUCUCUUCUUCAAAUCAACAUUUGAUGAAAUGCACAUAGAAGCUAAUAACCACACAGUCACACACACACACACAAUGCAAACAUACAAGGUUCUCAUGCUAAUGCUUCAUACUUUCUUCUUCUGUAUCAUUCCAACUUCAUCUAUACAAUAUGAAACUUUUUCUGCCAUUACACCAGAUCAUUCUAUCCAAGGUAAUGAAACUUUAGUGUCUUCAUCUGGAACUUUUGAAGCUGGAUUCUUCAACUUUGCAAAUUCACAACUCCAAUACUUUGGUAUAUGGUACAAAACAAUAUCACCUAAAGUGUAUGUUUGGAUUGCCAAUAGAGAUUCUCCGAUACAAAACUCAACGCCAAUUCUAAAACUAACAUAUAAAGAUACUCUUACUAUUGUUGAUGAUUCUAGAACCAUUAUAUGGUCCUCCAAUGCAUCAACAGUUGCGGCAAAACCGGUCUUGUUGCUUCUAGAUUCAGGAAACCUUGUUGUGAAAGAUGGAGAGAGAAUUCUGUGGGAAAGUUUUGAUUACCCUGGUGACACUUUCCUUGCAGGAAUGAAACUCAAGACAAGUUUACUAAAUGGUCCUUAUAUGUCUCUUACAUCAUGGAAAAGUGUUGACGAUCCUUCUUUAGGUGAGUUUUCUUAUCACAUAGAUUUUCAUGGAUUUCCUCAAUUAGUUACAACAAAGGGAGGAAAUAUAUAUCAUAGGGGACCAGCUUUGAAUGGUAAUGCUUUUGGUGGAGUUUCAUGGCUAAGUAAUCUUAAGUUGUUGAAAUUUUCAUUAAUGUUAAAUGAUAAAGAAGUUUCUUAUGAAUAUGAAACUUUGAAAAAUGAAACUAUUACUAGAUUAUGGCUUAGUCCAUCAGGUUAUUCAGAGAGAUCGGUAUGGUCAGAGAGUAGAAAAAAUUGGGAUAUUAUAACGACUCGUCCGUUGGAUCAGUGUGCAUAUUAUUCAAGUUGCGGUGAUAAUUCUGUCUGCAAUAUUACAAACUCUCCAAGAAUAUGUCAAUGCUUGGAAGGUUUUGUACCUAAGUAUUAUGAAAAGUGGAAUUCUUUAGAUUGGUCUGGUGGAUGUGUUAGAAGAAUAAGGUUAAAUUGUAGUGGAGAUUGGUUUCUGCAGCAUUCAGGAGUUGAGUUGCCAGAUACAUCCUCUUCAUGGUUUAACAAGAGUUUGCGUCUUGAAGAAUGUGAACAAAUGUGUUUGAAAAAUUGUUCAUGUUCAGCAUAUACAAACUUAAAUGUUAAAAGUAAUAGUGGAUGUUUGAUUUGGUUUGGAAAUAUACAGGACUUGAAAAACAAUAUAGACCAAGGACAAGAUAUUUUCAUAAGACUUGCAGCCUCAGAGUUAGGUAUCUUUUUCCACUUUCUAAGACACUUUGUUGAGUGUACACACGUUGACACUGGCAAAAUAUAAUUCGAAAAAAUUGAAGUGAUUGAACGCAACACACACAUAUCUCCAAUAUAAAGUAUCAGUGUUAUAUUUUGUCAAAGUGAACUUCCAAAUUGAAGUAGUGCUCCAAAAUACAUUUUAUUUCUUUUAGUAUCCUUACUAAAUUGUAAUCUUGUUAUUUCUUAGAUCAUGGAAGAAAUAGGAGGAGCUUUAACAAAAUGAAGCUUGCAGGGGCACUAGUAGGAGUCAUUUUAUUCAUCAUGAUUCUUGGACUAGCCACACUUACAUAUAUAAAUAGAAAGAAGCUUGCAAAACCAGGUGAAUUUAAAGUAAAAUUAUGUUCCUCCAAAAAAUCCUUUUAGUUAUACUCAGUUGAUAUCUCCUACCAUUUUAGGGAUGCUAAAAACAUUAUAUAUGAAGCACAAAAGAGAUGAGGGAGAUGUGCAGCUAUCAACAAUAUUUGGUUUUUCAACCAUAUCUAAUGCCACAAAUCACUUUUCAGACCACAACAAAUUAGGACAAGGUGGUUUUGGACCAGUAUACAAGGUAGCUAAAUUCAUUCAAAGAAACCUUGGUUAAAAGCAUUGAUUAAGUUGUAUGAUGAUCAAGGAAUUUCUUUACAUAUUUCAAAAUUUUCCAAAAUUAUUGCCAGGGCAUAUUGGAAGAUGGACUAGAGAUUGCAGUAAAGAGGCUAUCAGAAAUAUCAGCACAAGGAGAAGAACAGUUCAAAAAUGAAGUCAUGCUUAUGGCGAAGCUUCAGCAUCGCAAUCUUGUAAAACUUCUUGGUUGUUCAAUAUUCCAAGACGAAAAGCUCCUGAUCUAUGAAUUGAUGCCCAACAGAAGCUUGAAUUAUUUCAUUUUUGGUUUGAAACUUCACACUAUUUAUUUCAUUUUACUCUUUGCAAUUAUUUAGUUACCACACUCACUUUAAAAGUGAAUUUUGUUAGAUUCAACGCGAAAGAAACAGCUAGAUCUGAUCAAACGAUUUCAAAUUAUUGAUGGGAUCGCUCGAGGUCUGCUCUAUCUUCAUCAAGACUCUAGAUUAAGAAUCAUCCAUAGAGACCUCAAAACAAGUAAUAUUCUUCUUGAUAAUGAUAUGAAUCCAAGGAUAUCAGAUUUUGGUCUAGCUAGAACAUUUCUUGGAGAUCAAGAUGAGUCUAACACAAAAAGAUUGAUGGGAACAUAGUAAGUACAUCUUCAGAGUUAUGUAGUUCCACUAUGUUGCAAAUUCAUUUUGAAAGUUAGACCGAAUUGGCUGGUUAAAUCGGUUGAAUUAGGAAGCGGCUAGUUCGAUGGUUGAACCAGAUUGAACCAUAAUUUAAUAGAACUAAUUGAUCCGUAGUCUAACCGGUUUUUUUUUAAUAAAAAGUUUUACAUUUUUUAAUGCUUUAUUCAUUUAUUUAUUUGUUAUGUGAUUCGACUCUGGCUGAAUAGAUUGAACCAAUUAAACCACGACCUAGAGGUCUAAUCGGUUUGAUCUCUGGUCUUAUCUUUACAUUGAUUUUCUAAUUUCAUGAUUUUGUUGCAGUGGUUAUAAGCCACCUGAAUAUGCGGUCCGUGGAUGUUUUUCAAUCAAAUCUGAUGUUUUUAGCUUUGGAGUAAUUGUUCUCGAGAUAAUUAGUGGGAGAAGGAUUCAAAAAUUUUAUGACCCGCGUCAUCAUCACCUAAAUCUUCUUGGUCAUGUAAGUUUAAAGUUUAUUUAGUUUAGAAUCAUUAUUUCUUUACUUCAAUCAAUACUUUCUCUGUCCAUUAUUAUAAGACUCACUUACAAAAUCAAAGGUAUUAAGUAGUUUAAACAAUNNNNNNNNNNNNNNNNNNNNNNNNNNNNNNNNNNNNNNNNNNNNNNNNNNNNNNNNNNNNNUAUAACAAUAAAAUAUUUUUAUCAUUGCUUUUUCAGGCAUGGAGACUGUGGGGUGAAGAAAAGGCACAAGAGUUAAUAGAUGAGUCAUUCCAUGGUACAGUAAUUCCAUGUGAAAUUUUGAGAUGUAUUCAUAUUGGUCUACUAUGUGUGCAACAAAGACCAGAACAUAGAUCAAACAUGUCAUCUGUGGUCUUAAUGUUGAAUGGUGAAAAACUGUUGCCUGAGCCUAACCAACCUGGGUUCUAUACUGCAACAGCUCAUCAUCCGAUUCAGGUAG
rnacentral:lncRNA from 1 species